rnacentral:rRNA from 1 species
GAUGAACGCUAGCGGCAGGCCUAAUACAUGCAAGUCGAGGGGUAGAAGAGGCUUGCUUCUUUGAGACCGGCGCACGGGUGCGUAACGCGUAUGCAACCUACCUUCAUCUGGGGGAUAGCCCGGAGAAAUCCGGAUUAAUACCGCAUAAAAUCACAGGAUGGCAUUAUCCAAUGAUCAAACAUUUAUGGGAUGGAGAUGGGCAUGCGUGUCAUUAGCUAGUUGGCGGGGUAACGGCCCACCAAGGCGACGAUGACUAGGGGAUCUGAGAGGAUGGCCCCCCACACUGGAAAUGAGACACGGACAAGACUCCUACGGGAGGCAGCAGUAAGGAAUAUUGGUCAAUGGAGGCAACUCUGAACCAGCCAUGCCGCGUGCAGGAAGACUGCCCUAUGGGUUGUAAACUGCUUUUAUUCGGGAAUAAACCUUAUUACGUGUAAUAAGCUGAAUGUACCGAAGGAAUAAGGAUCGGCUAACUCCGUGCCAGCCGCCGCGGUAA